rnacentral:ncRNA from 1 species
AUAGAGGAGAGAUUUGUAUGCUUGCAACCUCGAUAAAAAAAUGCUAAAACUAUAU